ensembl:lncRNA
CUCCAGCUCUCCAAGUUCAUCUCCGUGUGGGGUUGCAGGUACACCUAGCAGAAACCUGAGCUUUAUACUACAGCAAAAUGGGAGAACAUUUCCACUGCAAAAAAAAUCCUACUUCAGAGAAACACACAGCCUUCUCUUUGCUAUGCAUCUCUUGUGGGACACUCUGCUGACUUUCGCCAUGAACUUUGAUUGAUCCAUUCAGUGUGGAGCAGAUUCAGUGCCAAUGUCAACAUAAGGACAGAAGCAUUUCCAAUCUGUGAGUGCACUGUUUCCAGUGCUCCCAGUUGGAAGCCAAACCAAGAGGCCAAUCCAGGUAUUUUUGCAAUGAAUGCAUUGAUGGAAGAAAGAAAACAGACAUCUUGGCCAUUAAUGGGAGCCUGAAAUGCAAACACUUCACAAAAGGUUUAAAUAAGAAAGUGAUACCAAUACAGGACACAAACUGUUUCAUGGUAUCUCAGAGGAGGAAGAGGUGACACUAGCCAUGCACUGGAUUAAAUCAUUCUGAAUUUGUUAGCCACCUAAAAUUGUGAAUACUGGGUAGAAUAUAAAAACAGAAAGGGAAACAGGGCAAUUUUAUGUAGAAUUUGCUUCAGCCAGG